CUGGCAGGGACUUCAGAGGCUGUCGGCUGCUUCCAGACACAGAAAGGACAGGACCCCUGCCUCUAGGGCCAAGGGAUGGACGGAGGCCUGUCCAACACCAACUUCCCGAGUGACUCUCAAAUCAAAACUCCUAACUGAUGAGCUCAGGAGGACUUUGGCCCUGAGCUCCGGGAUGCCCUCCCAGGCUGCCCGUCACCGAGGGAGAGCAGGGGGUGCUGGACUUUUCCCGCACGGCCGCGGCCAGGCGGAUCCGGCGUGCUCCUCCCAGCCGUGGGCUUCCACUUACCAGUGUGAGUUCGGACGUGUCUCUUGAGGUCGAAGGUGUCAUUGAAGCCCUUCCCGCAGUACGUGCAGAGGUGCCUCUUGACGUCGUUGUGACACUUCAUGUGGCGGUUCAGCAUGCGCUGGUGGAGACAAACAGGAACCUCUACCCUCCUCUGCCUGUUAGUACUGGAUGGUGUGAGCGAGGUCCCCCAGCUGCACCACAGCAGGGCAGGAGACAGCAGUUAAAACUGUGCCUCGGCCCUCGCGCCAGGGUGCCCGCCCAGAACAGUGGGAGCAGUGCUUCCUGUUGCAGCCCCCACCCAGCCAGGCACAGGCCCAGUGCCUCUGUGGGACUCCAUCCAGGACUUGUUGAAAUGGCCGAUGAUACAAAGGAGCCCCGACUUCACCCAUGGCCAGCUUCCCUCGCCAUCCUCCCUGCAGCCAAAGGACUCGCCCUCACCUGUUCUUUCUGAGACAAAUCAUCUGCCAGGUUUCCGCCUCGGGACACCCAAGCUCAGCACAGACAGCCUAGCAGCCUGGGUGACAGGAUCCCAGGGGACAGGAUUCUCUCCUUGCCAUGGGGAUGAGGACAAAUUCUCCCUUCAUCCUUGAGAUUGGACUCCCGCCACACAUCCUGGAGGAGCCUACAGAGAAGCCGGCAGGUCUCCCUCACCUGGAUGGUGCCAGCGGGUGGCCUGGACCACCCAGAGGCCCUCUCCUGCACCUGACAGGAAGCCCCUGGGGCAUACGUCUCCCCUGCCACUUCCACUGUGGCCACUGGAAGUGUGGCAGAGAAAAUAGCUAGGACAAAAAGAAGUCAAUGAUUUCAACCAACGGAAUUUCUUUGUCCUUUGUAAAAAUCAACACAUGAUCUGUUACUGAUUGGGAUGUGAAAUAAAACUAAAAAUAACAGCACACUGAGCCUGGCUCAGGGCUCAGCUCACCUUUACCACGGUCCAAGUUCAGUUUAUCAGAUCCCAAGGAGCAGCUAAGCAGCAAGUCAAACACAGGUGAGGGUGGAGGGCGGAGGGCGGAGCGGGGAGGGGGCUCUGGCCCUCUGCGUGCCCCCACCAACCCCCAGGUAGAGAACCAGCCAGCUCACCAGGGAGUGUGGCCAAGCAAGAAGCUAUACACAGAAUUCUGAGCCCACACCCUAAUCUGCCUCAGGUGGGGAGGCCACUCACUUCCCUUUUUGCCUCAGUUUCCCCACUGGGGUUACCAGGGUCUUCUGGCACAUUCCCUUGUUUUAAGGAACGGUGGAAGAGGGGUCCCCUUGAGAUCAGGUUAAGCUGUGAAACAUCCUGCCAGCGCCACAGGCCACUGGGUCCUGGAAGGUCAGGCCACAAAGACC
rnacentral:lncRNA from 10 species